UUUAUAAACCAGGGGCAAUAGGACAGAGAAAUUCAGACAAACUACUUCCACUACCAAGAUCUUUUUCUCAAAUGAGACACUUUGGACAAAUUAUAAAUACAACGCUCAGAUUGCAUAUCCUUUUUGUUGCAGCCUUCUGGGAUAGUAUCUGAAGCUAAAGACCUCCAAGCCAAGGACCAAGGGCAAAGGCUAUAUACCAUGUCCCUGAUUUGUUGGUGUGAGAAAGGUUUUGAACCAGUGGGCUGAGAGCUUUGGGUAUCGCUUUAAUCCAUUUUUAUAGUCUACAAAGUUGAUGCCAAAUCGCACAGUGAAACCUGAUGUCCAUUCAAAAUUGUCCAGCAACGACCAGGCAAAGUAUCCCUUCACAUUAGCCCCCUCUUUAAUUGCUCUUUCCAGGAAAUAUAAAUGGUGAUAGUAGUAAUCAAUCCUCACUUCGUCAACCAGGGCGUCCUCCAGAGAUAAUGUGGCAUUAUUGAACUCAUCAAUCCCAUUUUCCGUAAUGUAAAUGAGUGGAUUUUUGUACUUCCUCUUUAUGUAGAGCAAAAGAUCACGAAUCCCUCUGGGAUAAACAUGGAUGAAAUCUGAAGCUGCCUUUGGGCCAAUUGGAAUUCCAUUACGAUCACUUGUCAUGUUAACGAGAGAGUCUGUUAGGAAGCUUUUGUUUGCAUUCCUAAAUUGAGGGGCAUAGGCUGCAUAAGUAGCAGUAUAAUAGUUUAAUCCUAUAAAAUCAUACGAUCCUUUUACCAUCUGAGCUUGUUCUUUUGAGAAUUUUGGCAAUCGAUUUCCCACAUAAGAUUUCAUGACAUGUGGGUAAUCACCAUUUGUCAAUGGGUCCAUAAACCAUCCCAAUGAGAAAUCGAGGGCUCUCUGCGCUGCAUUUUUGUUAUGUCUUGCAUUGGAGUAGGGAACCAUCCAAGGAGUCACUAAAGUAAUCCCUAUAAUGCCUUUCUGGAUUUCCUGAUAUUUGCGUUUGUACAAGUUUACAGCAGCAGCAUGAGCAAGAAGCUGGUAAUGUGACACCAAAUAAGGCUCAGUUGCUGAAUCUCCACCUGUGCAAUUUAUGUUUUGUGAGGCUGAGCAUCGCCCAGGAGCCAGGAUGCCUAAUGCAUAACCAGCCACACUGAAUCCCGUUGGCUCAUUAAAUGUUAUCCAAUGUUUUACUCGAUCUCCAAAUUCCUUAAAACAAGUUUCAGCAAAAUCUUGAAAAUCAUCCACAACUCGUGGACUCAAAAACCCAGAAUACUCAUCUUCCAAGGAUUGAGGAAGAUCCCAGUGGAACAAAGUGAUAAAGGGCUCUAUAUCAUUUGCUAGGAGCCCAUUGAUGAGGUUGUUAUAGUAUUUCACUCCAUUCUUGUUCACACCCCCACUUAGCUUUCCAUUUGGCAAUAUUCGGGGCCAUGAGAUUGAGAAUCUGUAAGCAUUCAAACCCAUUUCUUUCAUUAUCUGAACAUCUUCCUUGUAGCGGUGAUAUGAAUCAACAGCCACAUCCCCAUUGCUUCUAUCUAUAAUCUUAUCUGGAUAUCUAUGAGUAAAAGUAUCCCAUAUGCUUCGCCCUUUACCUCCUUCUCUUGCUGCACCUUCAUACUGGUAAGCUGAUGAAGCCGUCCCAAAAAGGAAACCUGCCGGAAAAUUAGUCCGAUUGAAGGAGGCUGUGCUAUACCUGGAACCAUAAGCUAUACUGGUAUGGAGUGCUCCAUGGAAAA
rnacentral:misc_RNA from 1 species